rnacentral:rRNA from 1 species
ACCCGCACAAGCGGUGGAUGAUGUGGAUUAAUUCGAUGCAACGCGAAAAACCUUUACCUACCCUUGACAUGUCCGGAAUCCUGCAGAGAUGCGGGAGUGCCCGAAAGGGAAUCGGAACACAGGUGCUGCAUGGCUGUCGUCAGCUCGUGUCGUGAGAUGUUGGGUUAAGUCCCGCAACGAGCGCAACCCUUAUCAUUAGUUGCUACGCAAGGGCACUCUAAUGAGACUGCCGGUGACAAACCGGAGGAAGGUGGGGAUGACGUCAAGUCCUCAUGGCCCUUAUGGGUAGGGCUUCACACGUCAUACAAUGGUCGGUACAGAGGGUUGCCAAGCCGCGAGGUGGAGCCAAUCCCAGAAAGCCGAUCGUAGUCCGGAUUGUUCUCUGCAACUCGAGAGCAUGAAGUCGGAAUCGCUAGUAAUCGCGGAUCAGCAUGUCGCGGUGAAUACGUUCCCGGGCCUU